CACGUAGGCGGACUCGUAGGUCAAUUGUGAAAUACCUGGGCUCAACCCAGGAACUGCAGUUGAAACCGCUUGUCUUGAAUACCUGAGAGGGUGGGGGAAUACCUGGUGGAGAAGUGAAAUUCGUAGAGAUCAGGUGGAACACCGGAGGCGAAGGCGCCUGCCUGGCAGUGUAUUGACGCUGAGGUGCGAAAGUGCGGGGAGCAAACAGGAUUAGAUACCCUGGUAGUCCGCACCGUAAACGAUGGAUACUAGGCGUUCGGAGAGUUAACCCUCUGAGUGCCAAAGUUCACACAUUAAGUAUCCCGCCUGGGAAGUACGGUCGCAAGACUAAA
rnacentral:rRNA from 1 species